rnacentral:lncRNA from 8 species
UUGCAGGUUAGAGCACAAAUGUAUUUUACUAGGCCCCUGAAAUGCCACUAUGGAAAUGGUUCAGAAAUGAACAAGAGACUGAUCUUUUGGUUUUUCAAUCAAAGAGAUCCAAUACAUGAAGAGUUCUACAGAACUGAAAUUAAAUAUCCCAAUGAAGAUACAAGAUGUACAUACAGUGUGUCAUGAGUGAAAGAGCAUGACGUGACAACAAAACAAUUGGAAAUGAUUUACACCUAAUUGUCUCAUAUGGCUGAAAUUCUCAGCUAGGCUCUUUAAUCUUCAGGUGCACCAGUCAGUCAGUCUCAUCCAUCCGUCUGUCAGCCCACAGAGAGGCACAGAGAGGAAGGAUGUCGAAAUUGGUUUCAGGAGCUUGGAGGAAUGGAGGGAUUGGUGUCAGCACAGCAACUAUUGGCAGCAGUCCUGACCCUGGAGCCCCCCCUCCCCCUCUCUCUUUCUCUCCGCCUCUCUUCCCCCCUCUGUGACAGAAUCUCACCACCUGUAGCAGACACAUGGGCACUAAGACCUGCUCCUUGCCUGGCUUCUGCGCCAUCUGUCCACAGCAGUGGGGGAGAGAGAGAGACCGGAGCUGUUCCCUACUGGAGACCAGCACAGCCUGGUGGACAGCCAGCACCUCUCUGUCUCUCUCUCUGUCUCUCUCUCACUUCUUCUCUCUGUCUCCCCCCUUCUCUCUCUCUCUCAAUUUCAAUUACAUUUCAUUUAAGGGCUUUAUUGGAAUGGGAAACAUAUGUUUACAUUGCUAACCCCAGUGAGAUUGAUAAACAAAAGUGAAAUAAACAAUACAAGACUGUACUGUAAACAUUACACUCACAAAAGUGUCAUAUAAUGUGUAAAUAGUUAAAAGUACAAAAGAGAAAAUAAAUAAACAUAAAUACGGGUUGUAUUUACAGUGGCUUGCGAAUGUAUUCACCCCACUUGGCAUUUUUCCUAUUUUGAUGCCUUACAACCUGGAAUUAAAAUAGAUUUUUGGGGUGUUUUUAUAAUUUGAUUUACUCAACAUGCCUACCACUUUGAAGAUGCAAAAUGUUUUUUAUUGUGAAACAAACAAGAAAUUAGACAAAAAAACUGAAAACUUGAGUGUGCAUAACUAUUCACCAUCCCAAAGUCAAUACUUUGUAGAGACACCUUUUGCAGCAAUUACAGCUGCAAGUCUCUUGGGUUUGUCUAUGUAAGCUUGGCACAUCUAGCCACUGGGAUUUUUGCCCAUUCUUCAAGGCAAAACUGCUCCAGCUCCUUCAAGUUGGAUGGGUUCCGCUUGUGUACAGCAAUCUUUAAGUCAUACCACAGAUUCUCAAUUGGAUUGAGGUCUGGGCUAUGACUAUGCCAUUCCAAGACAUGUAAAUGUUUCCCCUUAAACCACUUGAGUGUUGCUUUAGCAGUAUGCUUAGGGUCAUUGUCCUGCUGGAAGGUAAACCUCCAUGCCAGUCUCAAAUCUCUGGAAGACUGAAACAGGUUUCUCUCAAGAAUGUCCCUGUAUUUAGCACCAUCCAUCAUUCUUUCAAUUCUGACCAGUUUCCCUGCCGAUGAUGAUCUUGGGGUGAUGCGAGGUGUUGGGUUUGCGCCAGACAUAGCAUUUACCUUGAUGGCCAAAAAGCUCAAUUUUAGUCUCAUCUGGCCAGAGUACUUUCUUCCAUAUGUUUGGGGAGUCUCCCACAUGCCUUUUGGCGAACACCAAAAGUGUUUGCUUAUUUCUUUCUUUAAGCAAUGGAUUUUUUUCUGGCCACUCUUCCGUAAAGCCCAGCUCUGUGGAGUGUACGGCUUAAAGUGGUCCCAUGGACAGAUACUCCAAUCUCCGCUGUGGAGCUUUGCAGCUCCUUCAGGGUUAUCUUUGGUCUCUUUGUUGCCUCUCUGAUUAAUGCCCUCCUUGCCUGGUCUGUGCGUUUUGGUGGGCGGCCCUCUCUUGGCAGGUUUGUUGUUGUGCCAUAUUCUUUCCAUUUUUUUAUAAUGGAUUUAAUGGCGCUCCGUGGAUUGUUCAAAGUUUUGGAAAAACAAUUAUAACUCAACCCUGAUCUGUACUUCUCCACAACUUUGUCCCUGACCUGUUUGGAGAGCUCCUUGGUCUUCAUGGUGCUGCUUGCUUGGUGGUGCCCCUUGCUUAGUGGUGUUGCAGUGUCACGCCCUGACCAUAGAGAGCCCUUGGUUCUCUAUGGUGUUGUUGGUCAGGGCGUGACUAGAGGGUGUUCUAGUCUUUUCCUCUCUAUGUUGGUGCUCUUGGUAGGGUUCCCAAUUAGAGGCAGCUGAUGUUCGUUGUCUCUAAUUGGGGAUCAUACUUAAGGAGUCCCUGUUCCCACCUGCUUUCUGGGAUAUUGUUUUGUGUCUGUGCAUGUAGCACCACUGAGAUCACAUUUUCGUUGUUGGUUAUUUUUUUGGGGGUAGUUUCACUUUGAAUAAAGAUGUGGAACUCAAAUAACGCUGCGCCUUGGACCGUCCUUGUUAACGACCGUGACAUGCAGACACGGGCCAUUCAGAACAGGUGUAUAUAUACUGAGAUCACGUGACACUUAGAUUGCACACAGGUGGACUUUAUUGAACUAAUUAUGUGACUUCUGAAGGUAAUUGGUUGCACCAGAUCUUAUUUAGGGGCUUCAUAGCAAAGGAGGUGAAAACAUAUGCACGCACCACUUUUCAGUUUUUAUUUUUUUGAAUUAUUUGAAACAAGUAAUUUUUUUAUUUCACUUCACCAAUUUGGAAUAUUUUGUGUAUGUCCCUUACAUGAAAUCCAAAUAAAAAUCCAUUUAAAUUACAGGUUGUAAUGCAACAAAAUAGGAAAAACACCAAGGGGGAUGAAUACAUUUGCGAGGCACUGUACAAUGGUGCUUGUUUUUCACUGGUUGCCGUUUUCUUGUGGCAAACAGGUCACAAAUCUUGCUGCUCUGUUGGCACACUGUGGUAUUUCACCCAAUAGAUAUGUGAGUUUAUCAAAAUUGGGUUUGUUUUCAAAUUCUUUGAGGGUCUGUGUAAUCUGAGGGAAAUAUUUGUCUCUAAUAUGGUCAUACAUUUGGCAGGAGGUUAGGAAAUGCAGCUCAGUUUCCACCUCAUUUUGUGGGCAGUGUGCACAUUGCUAUUUGAGAAGACAAGCUAUCUAGUUUGCUCAGUUUUUUUUAAUGAUUCUUUCCAAUGUGUCAAAUAAUUCUCUUUGUUUUCUUAUGAUAUGGUUGUGUCUAAUUGUGUUGCUGUCCUGGGGCUCUGUGGGGUGUGUUUGUGUACAGAGCUCCAGGACCAGCUUGCUUAGGGGACUCUUUCCCAGGUUCAUCUCUCUGUAGCUGAUGGCUUUGUUAUGCAUUAUUUUGUGUUUUACAUUGUACACAGAUAUUUUUGCAGAAUUCUCUCUCUCUCCCGUUCUCUCUCUCUACUUCAUUUUCCUCUCUCUCCCUCCCUCUCUCUCACUGAUUUACCGUUUUUAUAGCUUGGCUGGCUCCCACACUCACCAUCAAGAGGGGGAUGAUUCAUAAACAUUGAAUAAAAGCGGAAGCAAACCUCCCCAUACAUACUAUAUCUAUUGUACCAUGAUGCUUCACUUUAGCCAGGGAUCUGUACUUGACAAUGCUGCUAUAUCAAUCCUCAUAUAUUUUGACUAAUUAGCAUUGUAAUGGAGUUGCCUGUAAUCCGGCUUUACCAGUGCAAUAGCAUGAAGUGGUACUGCUACUGCUUCACAUGAAAUGUUAGAAUUCUCCAACCAGAAUUAGACGUGGUAAUUAUGGUACUGUUGUACUUUACCCAAGUUUCCAAGACACCAGAUACCAGGGUAGUGAAAGUGCACCAUCGC